rnacentral:rRNA from 1 species
GAGAAAUUUGGAUUAAUACCUCAAGCAUAACCAGACCGCAGGGUUUGAUUAUUAAAGUCACAACGGUGAAAGAUGAGCAUGCGUCCCAUUAGCUAGUUGGUAAGGUAACGGCUUACCAAGGCAACGAUGGGUAGGGGUCCUGAGAGGGAGAUCCCCCACACUGGUACUGAGACACGGACCAGACUCCUACGGGAGGCAGCAGUGAGGAAUAUUGGUCAAUGGGCGCAAGCCUGAACCAGCCAUGCCGCGUGCAGGAUGACGGUCCUAUGGAUUGUAAACUGCUUUUGCACAGGAAGAAACACUCCGACGUGUCGGAGCUUGACGGUACUGUGAGAAUAAGGAUCGGCUAACUCCGUGCCAGCAGCCGCGGUAAUACGGAGGAUCCAAGCGUUAUCCGGAAUCAUUGGGUUUAAAGGGUCCGUAGGCGGUCUUGUAAGUCAGUGGUGAAAGCCCAUCGCUCAACGGUGGAACGGCCAUUGAUACUGCAGGACUUGAAUUAUUGGGAAGUAACUAGAAUAUGUAGUGUAGCGGUGAAAUGCUUAGAGAUUACAUGGAAUACCAAUUGCGAAGGCAGGUUACUACCAAUGGAUUGACGCUGAUGGACGAAAGCGUGGGUAGCGAACAGGAUUAGAUACCCUGGUAGUCCACGCCGUAAACGAUGGAUACUAGCUGUUGGGAGCAAUCUCAGUGGCUAAGCGAAAGUGAUAAGUAUCCCACCUGGGGAGUACGAACGCAAGUUUGAAACUCAAAGGAAUUGACGGGGGCCCGCACAAGCGGUGGAGCAUGUGGUUUAAUUCGAUGAUACGCGAGGAACCUUACCAAGGCUUAAAUGCAGACUGACCGAUUUGGAAACAGAUCUUUCGCAAGACAGUUUACAAGGUGCUGCAUGGUUGUCGUCAGCUCGUGCCGUGAGGUGUCAGGUUAAGUCCUAUAACGAGCGCAACCCCUGUUGUUAGUUGCCAGCGAGUCAAGUCGGGAACUCUAACAAGACUGCCAGUGCAAACUGUGAGGAAGGUGGGGAUGACGUCAAAUCAUCACGGCCCUUACGCCUUGGGCUACACACGUGCUACAAUGGCCGGUACAGAGAGCAGCCACUGGGCGACCAGGAGCGAAUCUAUAAAGCCGGUCACAGUUCGGAUCGGAGUCUGCAACUCGACUCCGUGAAG